rnacentral:rRNA from 1 species
AUGGCGGACGCCGGCGACGACCUGGACCUGCUCCUGUCGCUGGACGAGGAUGGCGACCAGGCCGUCCUCGAGACCCCUCCGUCCUCCCCCUCGCGCCCCGCCGCCGCCGCCGCCGCUGGCUACGGCGCCUUCACGCCCCCGAGGGCCGUGGCGCGCCCGGGCGGCACCGACAUGUCCGUCUUCCGCGACGCCGUCAAGGACUACAUCGAGGCCGUCCCGGCCUCCACCUCCGGCCCGGGCCCCAGCCGCCACAAGCUCCCCAAAUCCAGCCAAACCCUCGUCGACACCUACUCCGGCCUCCGCAUCAAGCACAUGGCCGUCUCGCCACUCGACAUCGCCAACCGAUUCGCCGACAUCCGAUUCGNNNNNNNNNNNNNNNNCAGGAGCCUGGCCGGCGGGGACUUCUUCUCCGGCUGCUGGGUGACCGCCGGCGUGGUGCUGGACAAGGGCACGAAGCGGGUGAGCGCGCAGGGGAAGGACUACAGCAUCUGGAAGAUGGGCGCGCUGGACGACUCCGAGGUGUCGGUGUUCCUCUUCGGGGACGCCCACACCCACUACUCCGGCGGCGCCGUCGGCGACGUCUUCGCGCUGUUCAACGGCAACGUCCGCAUGGACAAGGGGGGGCAAGGGUUCUCGGUGAGCGUUGGCUCGGUGGGGCAGAUGAUGAAGAUGGGCGUCUCGGCGGAUUUCAGCAUCUGCAAAGGGACGAGGAAAGAUGGGAUGGCCUGCACCAUGGUCACAAACAAGCGUAAGGGACCAUACUGCAAAUAUCAUUCAUCGAGCACAUCAUCACAGAAGUACUCUACUGGCAGAGUGGAGCUUAAGGGUGGAAACUUCCAGUUUGCUUCCAAACUUCGUUCCAAUGGAAUUUACAUGGUCAAGCCUCCCUCAGAACGAUCCGAUCCGAGAAAUCCAUCACGACCACUGAAAGUAAUGUCGGUCGAUGGUUUAAAAAGGGCUUUAAGUAAUGCGGAUAAAGUGACCACUAAGAACAACUCUCAGGGUAUAAGGUUCCUCUCGCAUGUCACAGGCGGCACGGAACCGAAUCUCGUGAGCAACAGUACUUCGACAGUUGUACAGAAGCCGAUGUCGACCUGGAGCACCCUCUCGGAGAAGCUGAGCUCAGGCAGAAGGCCGGCAUCUUCUGGCGCCAAGGUAGGAGCGCCCAAACUGGGCUCGCAGAAGCAGGAACAAGAAGCCAAGAGGAGAAAGGUGAACAACCCUUCGGGGAACACAAUCGAGUUGGACCUAGGCAGCUCGGACGACGACGAGAUCAACAUAGUGCUGCGGCGUUGA